CUGAGAAGCUUGUAUUAAACAAUUUAUGUCUACUACAGUGCAGCUUAAAGAGAAGUGAGGGAACCAAUAGCAAUAGUGUGCUAAUUAUUCCAAAGAUGCUCACAACUUGAAUCUGACUGACAUUUGUACAGUACACGUUUGUGUUGUUGGACACGUUGUCAUCUAGUCCAUCCAUUUCCCUUGUUUCCUUCGAUUCGUAGGCUGAGGAGGUUGAGUUCAACUGCACCAGCUGUGGCUGUCAGACUGCAACACUCUCCCUGCAACUGGCUAGACUACCAAGGUGGGGGGAGAUGAUUAUACUUUACACUGUCUUGUAUUACUAUUAUUUUUGGCUGCCGUGAGAAUUGGACUACUCAACUAAACAUGUGAUUGUUUGUUUAUCUGUCGACGGCAGACUAAAUUAAUUGCUGUCGCGUACGUUUGGUAAUAUUUAUAGCCUUUUUCAUACCUCCCAUAACUUAAACAGAUGUGUAGUGUGUAUGAAUCGUAUUUAUAGUCCUCUCACCCCCCAUGCAUGUACACACAUACGCAUGCACACACCCAUACUUACCCACGCACACGCGCGUAUGUACACACGCAUACACACACACACAUCACACACACACACACACUCACACACAUCACAUGCACGCACACAUUACACACACACACGAUUAUGAUACUCCACCUCAAGCGCUAUGGUUACAACUAUAUACCAGCUGUCUGAGAACUCUAAGAGAGUGGACAAUAUUAGAAUACCACGAUACAUCGAUGUUGGACACAUGCAUGGCCAAGACUCAGUAUGAACCACUCCUCUCUUCACUGCGUCCACACUAAGGUCACUACAUCAGUGACGUGUACUCGUUCCCUGAUCACAGCUGGCGUACUUACAAUGACUCACAAGUCAGUGAAGUGAGGGAAGAGGACAUUAGACAAAGGAGGCAGACCACUGGAUACAUAUUCUUCUAUCUCCACAGGUCCAUCUUUACUAACGUGUCUGUACAGUUUGGAAGAUAAUAAUGAAUGGACAAUCAUUACAAUCCAGAACAUAUGCAACUAUUAUUAUAGAUAUCAUAAUUAUGCAUAUUCAAUUGAUUUUUAAUUCUUAUUAUCAUUGCAAUUACGGUACACAUUAGCAGGAAAGUUU